CAGAAAUGGAGGCCAAUAGAUAAUGAUAGCAAGGGGCCUCCUGUUCCCACCUAUUGUUUCCAACUCUAAUUAGGAAAAGGGAACCCGGGACCAUUGUCUUCUCCAAGGGUGCAGACGGGAUGUUAUCGUCCUGUUUACAGAGGGGGGCGGAUACCCAGCUCAACAGUCCCCCCACACUCAGCUGUCCCAUCUUGAAGGAACAAUGCCUCUCCCCGACCCCCCAACAGGGCUCGUGCUGACUGCACAGAGGAAGCCACACGCUAACAAACAAGCUCACAGGCCAGGAAGUUUUAAUCAGCGCUUUCUACCACAGAGGUAUGAUGGAUGGGGGCCCCCGCUGCGGAGGGGUUUCCUCUAGAUAAAACAAUAAUGUCCCGCUCUCAAGAACCUGGUCGACAGCUGAAGGCAAUGAUUAAUCCCCCAAAAGCCAAACGUGGGAAGACUGGCGGGAGGAGAUUAGUUGCCGGGUAUAAUUAGCCACGAUUAUCACCGAAAAGAAUUUGGAGUAGAUUCUGCUCUUGGGGGCUG
rnacentral:lncRNA from 1 species